rnacentral:rRNA from 1 species
ACCCGCUGAACUUAAGCAUAUCAAUAAGCGGAGGAAAAGAAACCAACAGGGAUUGCCUCAGUAACGGCGAGUGAAGCGGCAACAGCUCAAAUUUGAAAUCUGCCCGCAAGGGCCGAGUUGUAAUUUGUAGAGGAUGUUUUGGGUACCGCCGCGGUUUAAUUUUCUUGGAACAGGAAGCCAAAGAGGGUGAGAGUCCCGUCUUGGACCGCGGUAGGGCUCGUGUAAAACUCCUUCGACGAGUCGAGUUGUUUGGGAAUGCAGCUCAAAAUGGGUGGUAAAUUUCAUCUAAAGCUAAAUAUUGGCCAGAGACCGAUAGCGCACAAGUAGAGUGAUCGAAAGAUGAAAAGCACUUUGAAAAGAGAGUUAAACAGUAUGUGAAAUUGUUGAAAGGGAAGCGCUGGCAACCAGACUCGAGCGCGGUGUUCCCCCUGGCUUCUGCCUGGGUUACUUCACCGUGUCCGGGCCAUCAUCAGUUUUGGGGACCGGUUAAGGGCCCCGGGAAUGUAUCGUCUCCUUCGGGGGACGACUUAUAGCCCGGGGUGUCAUGCGGCCUCCCGGGACUGAGGAACGCGCUUCGGCGAGGAUGAUGGCGUAAUGGUUGUCAGCGACCCGUCUUGAAACACGG